rnacentral:rRNA from 1 species
GAGCCUACGGGAGGCAGCAGUGAGGAAUAUUGGUCAAUGGGCGAGAGCCUGAACCAGCCAAGUCGCGUGAGGGAAGACGGUCCUAUGGAUUGUAAACCUCUUUUGCCGGGGAGCAAAAAGCGGCACGUGUACCGCAUCGAGAGUACCCGGAGAAAAAGCAUCGGCUAACUCCGUGCCAGCAGCCGCGGUAAUACGGAGGAUGCGCGCGUUAUCCGGUUUUAUUGGGUUUAAAGGGUGCGCAGGCGGCGAGUUAAGACAGCGGUAAAAUUUAGGGGCUCAACCCCGACGAGCCGUUGAAACUGGUU